rnacentral:rRNA from 1 species
GACGAACGCUGGCGGCGUGCUUAACACAUGCAAGUCGAGCGGUAAGGCCCUUUCGGGGGUACGACGAGCGGCGAACGGGUGAGUAACACGUGGGUGACCUGCCCUCAGCUCUGGGAGUAAAGCCUGGGAAACCGGGUCUAAUACUGGAUAUGACUCCAUGACGCAUGUUGGUGGGGUGGAAAGCCUUGUGCGGCUGAGGAUGGGCCCGCGGCCUAUCAGCUU